rnacentral:rRNA from 1 species
AGCGAACGCUGGCGGCAGGCCUAACACAUGCAAGUCGAGCGCCCCGCAAGGGGAGCGGCAGACGGGAGAGUAACACGUGGGAACAUGCCCUUCAGUACGGAACAACCAAGGGAAACUUUGGCUAAUACCGUAUACGUCCGUAAGGAGAAAGAUUUAUCGCUGAAGGAUUGGCCCGCGUCUGAUUAGCUAGUUGGUGAGGUAAUGGCUCACCAAGGCGACGAUCAGUAGCUGGUCUGAGAGGAUGAUCAGCCUCACUGGGACUGAGACACGGCCCAGACUCCUACGGGAGGCAGCAGUGGGGAAUAUUGGACAAUGGGCGCAAGCCUGAUCCAGCCAUGCCGCGUGGAUGAUGAAGGCCCUAGGGUUGUAAAGUCCUUUCGGCGGGGAAGAUAAUGACGGUACCCGCAGAAGAAGCCCCGGCUAACUUCGUG